AAUAAAUUAGUUAAAAACAUAACAUUAAUCUGUCAAAUUAAAAUUAAAAAUUUAUUA
rnacentral:tRNA from 1 species